CCAUAGUAGGAUCCGUUAGUACGGCGAGUGACCGGGAUGAGCUCAAAUUUGAAAUCUGGCGUCUUUCAGGCGUCCGAGUUGUAAUCUAUAGAGGCGUUUUCCGCGCCGGACCGCGUCCAAGUCUCUUGGAAUAGAGUAUCAAAGAGGGUGACAAUCCCGUACUUGACGCGACAACCGGUGCUCUGUGAUACGUUCUCAAUGAGUCGAGUUGUUUGGGAAUGCAGCUCUAAAUGGGUGGUAAAUUCCAUCUAAGGCUAAAUAUUGGCGAGAGACCGAUAGCGAACAAGUACCGUGAGGGAAAGAUGAAAAGCACUUUGGAAAGAGAGUUAAACAGCACGUGAAAUUGUUAAAAGGGAAACGAUUGAAGUCAGUCGUGUGGGAAGUAUUCAGCCGUCUCUGGCGGUGUAUUUGCUUCUCACGGGUCAACAUCAGUUUGAUCCGGUAGAAAAAGGCGGGAAGAAGGUGGCACCCUCGGGUGUGUUAUAGCUUCCUGUCAUAUGUGCCGGACCAGACUGAGGAACGCAGCUUGCAGCAAUGCCGGGGUUCGCCCACGUACAAGCUUAGGAUGUUGACAUAAUGGCUUUAAACGACCCGUCUGAAAACCGGGGAAAAAAAAAAAAGUGAGAAGGGGGGGGGGGGGGGGGGGGGGCGGGCGGGGGAGAAGGGAGAAGGGCGAAGGGGAAAGAGGGAAGGGUAAAGGUUAAGCAAUUGUAAUACG
rnacentral:rRNA from 1 species